rnacentral:rRNA from 1 species
UAUAUAAAGUCUAACCUGCCCACUGAAAUAUUAAAGGGCCGCGGUAUAUUGACCGUGCGAAGGUAGCAUAAUCAUUAGUCUUUUAAUUGAAGGCUGGAAUGAAUGGUUGAACAAAAAAUAUCCUGUCUCACUAUUAAAAUUAAAAUUUGACUUUUAAGUAAAAAGGCUUAAAUAAUAUAGAAUGACGAUAAGACCCUAUAAAGCUUUAUAUUAAAAAAAUAAUUAAUAAGUUUGAAUUUAAAAGUUAUUUAUUUUAAAGAUAUUAUGUUGGGGCGACAAAAAUAAAAAUUGUAACUGUUUAUUUAUUAAAAACUACAAUAAAAGAAAAAGUGAUCCUUUAGUAAAGAUUAAAAGAUUAAGUUACUUUAGGGAUAACAGCGUAAUCUUUUUUAAGAGUUCAUAUCGACAAAAAGACUUGCGACCUCGAUGUUGAAUUAAGAAGUCCUUUUGGUGUAGCAGUUAAAAAGGAAGGUCUGUUCGACCUUUA